CAAUUGAUACUCUUUUAUAUUAGAUUGAUACACUUUUAUACUGCAUUGAUACAGCAUAUAUACCACAUAAAUACACCUUUUACAGAAGAAAUCUGUGCAAGCAUAUACAAUAGUUAGACCAAAUUGAUAUAGUAUAUAUUGCACAUUCAUACGCCUUUUCAAAUGGAAGGACAGAAAUCUGUGCUUGUUUUUGUGUACAUGUAGCAUAUUCA
rnacentral:lncRNA from 1 species